GACGAACGCUGGCGGCGUGCUUAACACAUGCAAGUCGAACGGAAAGGCCCUGCUUUUGUGGGGUGCUCGAGUGGCGAACGGGUGAGUAACACGUGAGUAACCUGCCCUUGACUUUGGGAUAACUUCAGGAAACUGGGGCUAAUACCGGAUAGGAGCUCCUGCUGCAUGGUGGGGGUUGGAAAGUUUCGGAGGUUGGGGAUGGACUCGCGGCUUAUCAGCUUGUUGGUGGGGUAGUGGCUUACCAAGGCUUUGACGGGUAGCCGGCCUGAGAGGGUGACCGGCCACAUUGGGACUGAGAUACGGACCAGAAUCCUACGGGAGGCAGCAGUGGGGAAUAUUGCACAAUGGGCGGAAGCCUGAUGCAGCAACGCCGCGUGCGGGAUGACGGCCUUCGGGUGGUAAACCGCUUUCGCCUGUGACGAAGCGUGAGUGACGGUAAUGGGUAAAGAAGCACCGGCUAACUACGUG
rnacentral:rRNA from 1 species